AGGAGCUUUUGCUGACAAUUCCAGUUUCCAAGCCAACUGCUGGGCAAUGGUGAGGGCUUCGCUCCGUUCUCCGAUCUGCUGUCAACCAUGAGUGGAUGGAUGUGCGAUGCCUGCUAGCCCAAAAGGUGCCCCCGCUCCCCAUGUGUUUGAGUCCUGUGACGUGAUGCAUGAUCCCUGCCAGUGAUUCCAGGCUUUUUAUGGCUGUCAGCCCCGUGCAAAGUUCAGGGGUAAGCCGUGACCUUUUCAGGUGACUGUCACUGAAGAUUGCUUUACAGGAGCACCUCCCCUCCCUC